rnacentral:rRNA from 1 species
CGCGUAGGUGGUUCGUUAAGUUGGAUGUGAAAUCCCCGGGCUCAACCUGGGAACUGCAUUCAAAACUGUCGAGCUAGAGUAUGGUAGAGGGUGGUGGAAUUUCCUGUGUAGCGGUGAAAUGCGUAGAUAUAGGAAGGAACACCAGUGGCGAAGGCGACCACCUGGACUGAUACUGACACUGAGGUGCGAAAGCGUGGGAAGCAAACA